AGCCGCCGCGGGAACACCGGCAGCUCUAGUGGUAGCUGUUUUAUUGGGCCUAAAGCGUUCGUAGCCGGUUUGAUAAGUCACUGGUGAAAUCCUGUAGCUUAACUGUGGGAAUUGCUGGUGAUACUGUUGAACUUGAGGUCGGGAGAGGUUAGCGGUAUCCCAAGGUAGAGGUGAAAUUCUGUAAUCCUGGGAGGACCACCUGUGGCGAAGGCGGCUAACUGGAACGAACCUGACGGUGAGGGACGAAAGCUAGGGGCGCGAACCGGAUUAGAUACCCGGGUAGUCCUAGCCGUAAACGAUGCGGACUUGGUGUUGGGAUGGCUUUGAGCCGCUCCGGUGCCGAAGGGAAGCUGUUAAGUCCGCCGCCUGGGAAGUACGGUCGCAAGACUGAACUUAAAGGAAUUGGCGGGGGAGCACCACAACGCGUGGAGCCUGCGGUUUAAUUGGAUUCAACGCCGGACAUCUCACCAGGAGCGACAGCUGUAUGAUUACCAGGCUGAUGACUUUGUUUGACUAGCUGAGAAGUGGUGCAUGG
rnacentral:rRNA from 1 species